GUUGCUUUCCUCAGGCUCUAAGGCCCGCGGUGUGGAGCGCGGCGUAGGCAGCGGGGAGUGGGCGGCGCGGGGUGGGUGGAGUGGGUCGGCGGCGGGGAUCCUGCCGAGCCCGCAGCUGCCCUCUUUUAGCGCCGUGUCUCCUCCCCGGCCCUGGCUCGUCCCACCUCAGCCACAGCCCGGCCCCCUGGCCGGCCGAGGUCUCGCCGCCGGCGCCCUGGGGACCUCGUGGGUGUGGCCGGCGGCGACCUCGGCAGGCGACAGCCCAGCAGACGGGCACCAGGUGGACGUGCCAGUCUCCAGACCCCCGUCCCGGUGCAGGGAAGGUGGGCGUUUGGACCCCUGAGGCAGAAACAGGUGCGGCCCCGCCGGCGCAUCCCCCGGAAGGGACGCUGACUUCGUUCCCCUGGAGCCUGCGUCGGGGCCCGCGCUGGGCUGAGAAUUACGGGAACGCCGUGAGAGUUUGCAUUCCGAGGAUUUGGUCUGAGAACCUCACCAGCGAAAUAGAGAACUGCCCCCGGGAGAGCCGGCCCACGUGCCGCCCACCGGCGCCUUGACGGCAGGGAGAGGUCGAGCUUCCAGGGAGCGGGCGCCCGGCGCGGGGCUCCCAGCCUGUCUGUACCUGGUCGAGACACCCCGUGCCAGAGGCGGAACAUGUCUGUUGAGAUUGUCUAUUUUUUCUUGAGUCAGCCGUCUGAAAAGAACACGAGGUGGACAGGGCAGAGCGGUCAAGGAAAGCCAUAGGAGGAGGGCACUUAUUUGAGCAAAGACCGGCGGGACGUGGGCGUCGAGGGCAACCAACUGCUGCAGCAGCAUCAGCAGUGUCCGGGACUCCACCUCCUACAGAAGUCGUGGAUGUCUCACAUCACAUCACCAUUGCUGCAGAUGCCACAGAAUACCAUUCUGCUCAUCAUUGCUCCAAAAUUACCAUAACUCCUGGACCAGCUGCUUGAUUACAUUAUUUAAUGCAUUCAUAAAGAGGCACAUGCAGUACUGUACCACCGUUUAAAAUUUGUGAUGAAAGUACUUUAAUUUCAUUUUUAAUUUUGUAGGCAUUAAAAGCAUUAUCUGAAUC
rnacentral:lncRNA from 10 species